rnacentral:rRNA from 1 species
GGGUUGUGAGGUUAAGCGACUAAGCGUACACGGUGGAUGCCCUGGCAGUCAGAGGCGAUGAAGGGCGUGCUAAUCUGCGAUAAGCGCCGGUAAGGUGAUAUGAACCGUUAUAACCGGCGAUACCCGAAUGGGGAAACCCAGUGUGACUCGUCACACUAUCAUUAACUGAAUCCAUAGGUUAAUGAGGCGAACCGGGGGAACUGAAACAUCUAAGUACCCCGAGGAAAAGAAAUCAACCGAGAUUCCCCCAGUAGCGGCGAGCGAACGGGGAGGAGCCCAGAGCCUGAAUCAGCAUGUGUGUUAGUGGAAGCGUCUGGAAAGGCGCGCGAUACAGGGUGACAGCCCCGUACACAAAAGCGCAUGUGCUGUGAGCUCGAUGAGUAGGGCGGGACACGUGGUAUCCUGUCUGAAUAUGGGGGGACCAUCCUCCAAGGCUAAAUACUCCUGACUGACCGAUAGUGAACCAGUACCGUGAGGGAAAGGCGAAAAGAACCCCGGCGAGGGGAGUGAAAAAGAACCUGAAACCGUGUACGUACAAGCAGUGGGAGCCCCACCACUAAGCCAGUGGUGAACUCCACAUACGCAUCCUUUGCUGAGGAUACGGUUAACGGAGCGAAAGCGACGUUCAACCGCAAAAGAAGCAGAGGGGGCUUAGUGGUGGGGUGACUGCGUACCUUUUGUAUAAUGGGUCAGCGACUUAUAUUCUGUAGCAAGGUUAACCGUAUAGGGGAGCCGUAGGGAAACCGAGUCUUAACCGGGCGUUAAGUUGCAGGGUAUAGACCCGAAACCCGGUGAUCUAGCCAUGGGCAGGUUGAAGGUUGGGUAACACUAACUGGAGGACCGAACCGACUAAUGUUGAAAAAUUAGCGGAUGACCUGUGGCUGGGGGUGAAAGGCCAAUCAAACCGGGAGAUAGCUGGUUCUCCCCGAAAGCUAUUUAGGUAGCGCCUCGUGAAUUCAUCUCCGGGGGUAGAGCACUGUUUCGGCUAGGGGGCCAUCCCGGCUUACCAACCCGAUGCAAACUGCGAAUACCGGAGAAUGUUAUCACGGGAGACACACGGCGGGUGCUAACGUCCGUCGUGAAGAGGGAAACAACCCAGACCGCCAGCUAAGGUCCCAAAGUCAUGGUUAAGUGGGAAACGAUGUGGGAAGGCCCAGACAGCCAGGAUGUUGGCUUAGAAGCAGCCAUCAUUUAAAGAAAGCGUAAUAGCUCACUGGUCGAGUCGGCCUGCGCGGAAGAUGUAACGGGGCUAAACCAUGCACCGAAGCUGCGGCAGCGACACUCAGGUGUUGUUGGGUAGGGGAGCGUUCUGUAAGCCUGUGAAGGUGUGUCGUGAGGCAUGCUGGAGGUAUCAGAAGUGCGAAUGCUGACAUAAGUAACGAUAAAGCGGGUGAAAAGCCCGCUCGCCGGAAGACCAAGGGUUCCUGUCCAACGUUAAUCGGGGCAGGGUGAGUCGACCCCUAAGGCGAGGCCGAAAGGCGUAGUCGAUGGGAAACAGGUUAAUAUUCCUGUACUUGGUGUUACUGCGAAGGGGGGACGGAGAAGGCUAUGUUGGCCGGGCGACGGUUGUCCCGGUUUAAGCGUGUAGGUGUGUGUUCCAGGUAAAUCCGGUUCACUUUAACACUGAGGCGUGAUGACGAGGCACUACGGUGCUGAAGCAACAAAUGCCCUGCUUCCAGGAAAAGCCUCUAAGCAUCAGGUAACAUCAAAUCGUACCCCAAACCGACACAGGUGGUCAGGUAGAGAAUACCAAGGCGCUUGAGAGAACUCGGGUGAAGGAACUAGGCAAAAUGGUGCCGUAACUUCGGGAGAAGGCACGCUGACACGUAGGUGAAGUGAUUUACUCAUGGAGCUGAAGUCAGUCGAAGAUACCAGCUGGCUGCAACUGUUUAUUAAAAACACAGCACUGUGCAAACACGAAAGUGGACGUAUACGGUGUGACGCCUGCCCGGUGCCGGAAGGUUAAUUGAUGGGGUCAGCGCAAGCGAAGCUCCUGAUCGAAGCCCCGGUAAACGGCGGCCGUAACUAUAACGGUCCUAAGGUAGCGAAAUUCCUUGUCGGGUAAGUUCCGACCUGCACGAAUGGCGUAAUGAUGGCCAGGCUGUCUCCACCCGAGACUCAGUGAAAUUGAACUCGCUGUGAAGAUGCAGUGUACCCGCGGCAAGACGGAAAGACCCCGUGAACCUUUACUAUAGCUUGACACUGAACAUUGAGCCUUGAUGUGUAGGAUAGGUGGGAGGCUUUGAAGCGUGGACGCCAGUCUGCGUGGAGCCGACCUUGAAAUACCACCCUUUAAUGUUUGAUGUUCUAACGUGGACCCGUAAUCCGGGUUGCGGACAGUGUCUGGUGGGUAGUUUGACUGGGGCGGUCUCCUCCUAAAGAGUAACGGAGGAGCACGAAGGUUGGCUAAUCCUGGUCGGACAUCAGGAGGUUAGUGCAAUGGCAUAAGCCAGCUUGACUGCGAGCGUGACGGCGCGAGCAGGUGCGAAAGCAGGUCAUAGUGAUCCGGUGGUUCUGAAUGGAAGGGCCAUCGCUCAACGGAUAAAAGGUACUCCGGGGAUAACAGGCUGAUACCGCCCAAGAGUUCAUAUCGACGGCGGUGUUUGGCACCUCGAUGUCGGCUCAUCACAUCCUGGGGCUGAAGUAGGUCCCAAGGGUAUGGCUGUUCGCCAUUUAAAGUGGUACGCGAGCUGGGUUUAGAACGUCGUGAGACAGUUCGGUCCCUAUCUGCCGUGGGCGCUGGAGAACUGAGGGGGGCUGCUCCUAGUACGAGAGGACCGGAGUGGACGCAUCACUGGUGUUCGGGUUGUCAUGCCAAUGGCACUGCCCGGUAGCUAAAUGCGGAAGAGAUAAGUGCUGAAAGCAUCUAAGCACGAAACUUGCCCCGAGAUGAGUUCUCCCUGAGACUUAGAGUCUCCUGAAGGAACGUUGAAGACGACGACGUUGAUAGGCCGGGUGUGUAAGCGCAGCGAUGCGUUGAGCUAACCGGUACUAAUGAACCGUGAGGCUUAACCUUACAACGCCGAAG